rnacentral:rRNA from 2 species
AAAGAAACCAACAGGGAUUGCCUCAGUAACGGCGAGUGAAGCGGCAAGAGCUCAAAUUUGAAAGCUGGCUCCUUCGGGGUCCGCAUUGUAAUUUGCAGAGGAUGCUUCGGGCAUGGCCCCCGUCUAAGUGCCCUGGAAGGGGCCGUCAUAGAGGGUGAGAAUCCCGUCUGGGACGGGGUGUCCGUGUCCGUGUGAAGCUCCUUCGACGAGUCGAGUUGUUUGGGAAUGCAGCUCUAAAUGGGUGGUAAAUUUCAUCUAAAGCUAAAUACUGGCCGGAGACCGAUAGCGCACAAGUAGAGUGAUCGAAAGAUGAAAAGCACUUUGAAAAGAGAGUUAAACAGCACGUGAAAUUGUUGAAAGGGAAGCGUUUGCGACCAGACUCGCUCGCGGGGUUCAGCCGGCAUUCGUGCCGGUGUACUUCCCCGUGGGCGGGCCAGCGUCGGUUUGGGCGGCCGGUCAAAGGCCUCCGGAAUGUAUCACCUCUCGGGGUGUCUUAUAGCCGGGGGUGCAAUGCGGCCUGCCUGGACCGAGGAACGCGCUUCGGCUCGGACGCUGGCGUAAUGGUCGUAAAUGAC